rnacentral:rRNA from 1 species
UACAGAGGGCUCAAGCGUUAAUCGGAAUCACUGGGCUUAAAGGGUCCGCAGGCGGAUUGGAAAGUAUCUUGUGAAAUACCACGGCCACCGUACGGGGAACUGCUCGGUAAACUUCCAAUCUUGAACACGGUAGGGGCCAUCGGAACUCUAGGUGGAGCGGUGAAAUGCGUAGAUAUCUAGAGGAACGCCAGAGGCGAAGGCGGAUGGCUGGGCCGUUGUUGACGCUCAGGGACGAAAGCAUGGGUAGCGAACGGGAUUAGAUACCCCCGUAGUCC